rnacentral:lncRNA from 1 species
AGUGCUUGACAUAUCAUGCAGCUAAAAGGACCCAGUUUAAAUGCUUGAGAAUCAUAACCAAAGGGGCACUUAGGUGACAUUGUCGCAGAUUCUCCAGAGUCUUGUUUAGGCUUGCUCUUCUGGCCAUCAUAUCCGAAGGGGCACUUAGGUGACACGGUUGCAGAUUCUCCAGAGUCUUGUUUAGGCUUGCUCUCCUGGCCAUCAUAUCCAAAGGGGCACUUAGGUGACACAGUUGCAGAUUCUCCAGAGUCUUGUUUAGGCUUGCUCUCCUGGCCAUCCUGUUGUUUAUUUUGGUCGUCACAAGGUUUCUUAAGAGUUGAAUCAUAUCCAAAGGGGCAUUUAGGUGACACCGUAGCAACUUCUCCAGAUUCUUUUUUAGGCUUGCUCUCUUGAGCCUGUUGUUUAUUUUCGUCAUAUGGUUUAUUAAGAGUUGCAUCAUCGGGUCUGGAAGCUCCAGCAAAAGGGCAAACUGGGAUCAUCUUGAUAAAUUCCCUGUAAAUGCUACAAGUUAUUCAUAUCUUUUGAGAAAAAAAAACCCGCAGAUCAGACAACUACUAAAAAGACACAAAUCCAGCAGUUCAACAAAGAAAGUGCACAUGCCUUGUCAACAAAACUUUGCAGGAAACAGGUGAGGUGAUGACUUAAGAGCAGAAUUCUGAACAAGAAAUAGCGAUUGCUUUUCUAUUUCAGUCUACAUAAUAUAGUUAAGAAGCU